rnacentral:rRNA from 1 species
CAGCCGCCGCGGGAAUACGAAGGGGGCUAGCGUUGCUCGGAAUGACUGGGCGUAAAGGGCGCGUAGGCGGUUCGUACAGUCAGAUGUGAAAUUCCUGGGCUUAACCUGGGGGCUGCAUUUGAUACGUGCGGGCUUGAGUGGGGAAGAGGGUCAUGGAAUUCCCAGUGUAGAGGUGAAAUUCGUAGAUAUUGGGAAGAACACCGGUGGCGAAGGCGGCGACCUGGUCCUUGACUGACGCUGAGGCGCGAAAGCGUGGGGAGCAAACAGGAUUAGAUACCCGCGUAGUCCCUGUCUCUUAUAA